rnacentral:rRNA from 2 species
GAUGAACGCUGGCGGCGUGCCUAAUACAUGCAAGUCGAACGAGUUCUCGUUGAUGAUCGGUGCUUGCACCGAGAUUCAACAUGGAACGAGUGGCGGACGGGUGAGUAACACGUGGGUAACCUGCCCUUAAGUGGGGGAUAACAUUUGGAAACAGAUGCUAAUACCGCAUAGAUCCAAGAACCGCAUGGUUCUUGGCUGAAAGAUGGCGUAAGCUAUCGCUUUUGGAUGGACCCGCGGCGUAUUAGCUAGUUGGUGAGGUAAUGGCUCACCAAGGCGAUGAUACGUAGCCGAACUGAGAGGUUGAUCGGCCACAUUGGGACUGAGACACGGCCCAAACUCCUACGGGAGGCAGCAGUAGGGAAUCUUCCACAAUGGACGCAAGUCUGAUGGAGCAACGCCGCGUGAGUGAAGAAGGCUUUCGGGUCGUAAAACUCUGUUGUUGGAGAAGAAUGGUCGGCAGAGUAACUGUUGUCGGCGUGACGGUAUCCAACCAGAAAGCCACGGCUAACUACGUGCCAGCAGCCGCGGUAAUACGUAGGUGGCAAGCGUUAUCCGGAUUUAUUAGGCGUAAAGCGAGCGCAGGCGGUUUUUUAAGUCUGAUGUGAAAGCCCUCGGCUUAACCGAGGAAGCGCAUCGGAAACUGGGAAACUUGAGUGCAGAAGAGGACAGUGGAACUCCAUGUGUAGCGGUGAAAUGCGUAGAUAUAUGGAAGAACACCAGUGGCGAAGGCGGCUGUCUGGUCUGUAACUGACGCUGAGGCUCGAAAGCAUGGGUAGCGAACAGGAUUAGAUACCCUGGUAGUCCAUGCCGUAAACGAUGAAUGCUAGGUGUUGGAGGGUUUCCGCCCUUCAGUGCCGCAGCUAACGCAUUAAGCAUUCCGCCUGGGGAGUACGACCGCAAGGUUGAAACUCAAAGGAAUUGACGGGGGCCCGCACAAGCGGUGGAGCAUGUGGUUUAAUUCGAAGCAACGCGAAGAACCUUACCAGGUCUUGACAUCUUUUGAUCACCUGAGAGAUCAGGUUUCCCCUUCGGGGGCAAAAUGACAGGUGGUGCAUGGUUGUCGUCAGCUCGUGUCGUGAGAUGUUGGGUUAAGUCCCGCAACGAGCGCAACCCUUAUGACUAGUUGCCAGCAUUUAGUUGGGCACUCUAGUAAGACUGCCGGUGACAAACCGGAGGAAGGUGGGGAUGACGUCAAAUCAUCAUGCCCCUUAUGACCUGGGCUACACACGUGCUACAAUGGAUGGUACAACGAGUUGCGAGACCGCGAGGUCAAGCUAAUCUCUUAAAGCCAUUCUCAGUUCGGACUGUAGGCUGCAACUCGCCUACACGAAGUCGGAAUCGCUAGUAAUCGCGGAUCAGCACGCCGCGGUGAAUACGUUCCCGGGCCUUGUACACACCGCCCGUCACACCAUGAGAGUUUGUAACACCCGAAGCCGGUGGCGUAACCCUUUUAGGGAGCGAGCCGUCUAAGGUGGGACAAAUGAUUAGGGUG